rnacentral:rRNA from 1 species
UACGUAGGGUGCAAGCGUUAUCCGGAAUUACUGGGCGUAAAGCGUGCGUAGGCGGUUCGUUAAGUCCGAUGUGAAAGCCCUGGGCUCAACCUGGGAAUGGCAUUGGAUACUGGCGGGCUAGAGUGCGGUAGAGGGCAGUGGAAUUCCCGGUGUAGCAGUGAAAUGCGUAGAGAUCCGGAGGAACACCGAAGGCGAAGGCAGUGUCCUGGCGAGUGACUGACGCUGAGGUGCGAAAGCCAGGGGAGCGAACGGG